GAUGAACGCUGGCGGCGUGCCUAAUACAUGCAAGUAGAACGCUGAAGGAGGAGCUUGCUCUUUCCGGAUGAGUUGCGAACGGGUGAGUAACGCGUAGGUAACCUGCCUGGUAGCGGGGGAUAACUAUUGGAAACGAUAGCUAAUACCGCAUAACAGUAGAUAUUGCAUGAUAUUUGCUUGAAAGGGGCAAUUGCUCCACUACCAGAUGGACCUGCGUUGUAUUAGCUAGUUGGUGAGGUAACGGCUCACCAAGGCGACGAUACAUAGCCGACCUGAGAGGGUGAUCGGCCACACUGGGACUGAGACACGGCCCAGACUCCUACGGGAGGCAGCAGUAGGGAAUCUUCGGCAAAGGACGGAAGUCUGACCGAGCAACGCCGCGUGAGUGAAGAAGGUUUUCGGAUCGUAAAGCUCUGUUGUAAGAGAAGAACGAGUGUGAGAGUGGAAAGUUCACACUGUGACGGUAUCUUACCAGAAAGGGACGGCUAACUACGUG
rnacentral:rRNA from 1 species